UACGUAGGGUGCAAGCGUUGUCCGGAAUUAUUGGGCGUAAAGAGCUCGUAGGCGGUUUGUCGCGUCGGCUGUGAAAACUCGGGGCUCAACCCCGAGCCUGCAGUCGAUACGGGCAGACUAGAGUGCUGUAGGGGAGACUGGAAUUCCUGGUGUAGCGGUGAAAUGCGCAGAUAUCAGGAGGAACACCGGUGGCGAAGGCGGUUCUCUGGGCAUGACCUGACGCUGAGGAGCGAAAGCAUGGGGAGCGAACAGG
rnacentral:rRNA from 1 species